rnacentral:rRNA from 1 species
AUGUCUAAGUAUAAGCAAUUAUACCGCGAAACUGCGAAUGGCUCAUUAAAUCAGUUAUCGUUUAUUUGAUAGUACCUUACUACUUGGAUAACCGUGGUAAUUCUAGAGCUAAUACAUGCUAAAAAUCCCGACUUACGGAGGGAUGUAUUUAUUAGAUUAAAAACCAAUGCCCUUCGGGGCUCCUUGGUGAUUCAUAAUAACAACUCGAAUCGCAUGGCCUUGUGCCGGCGAUGGUUCAUUCAAAUUUCUGCCCUAUCAACUUUCGAUGGCAGGGUCUUGGCCUGCCAUGGUUACAACGGGUAACGGAGGGUUAGGGCUCGACCCCGGAGAAGGAGCCUGAGAAACGGCUACUACAUCCAAGGAAGGCAGCAGGCGCGCAAAUUAUCCAAUCCCGAUUCGGGGAGAUAGUGACGAUAAAUACUGAUACAGGGCUCUUUCGGGUCUUGUAAUUGGAAUGAGUACAAUUUAAAUCCCUUAACGAGGAACAAUUGGAGGGCAAGUCUGGUGCCAGCAGCCGCGGUAAUUCCAGCUCCAAUAGCGUAUAUUAAAGUUGUUGAGGUUAAAAAGCUCGUAGUUGAACCUUGGGCCUGGCUGGCCGGUCCGCCUCACCGCGUGCACUGGUCUGGCCGGGCCUUUUCCUCUGGGGAUCCCCAUGCCCUUCACUGGGUGUGGUGGGGAACCAGGACUUUUACUGUGAAAAAAUUAGAGUGUUCAAAGCAGGCAUAUGCUCGAAUACAUUAGCAUGGAAUAAUAAAAUAGGACGUGCGGUUCUAUUUUGUUGGUUUCUAGGACCGCCGUAAUGAUUAAUAGGGACAGUCGGGGGCAUCAGUAUUCAAUUGUCAGAGGUGAAAUUCUUGGAUUUAUUGAAGACUAACUACUGCGAAAGCAUUUGCCAAGGAUGUUUUCAUUAAUCAGGAACGAAAGUUAGGGGAUCGAAGACGAUCAGAUACCGUCGUAGUCUUAACCAUAAACUAUGCCGACUAGGGAUCGGACGAUGUUAUUUUUUGACUCGUUCGGCACCUUACGAGAAAUCAAAGUCUUUGGG